rnacentral:rRNA from 1 species
GUGUCAGCAGCCGCGGUAAUACGUAGGGUGCAAGCAUUAAUCGGAGUUAUUGGGCGUAAAGGGCGCGUAGGCGGUUUGGCAAGUCUUGAUGUGAAAUUCCUGGGCUCAACCUAGGAGCUGCAUGGGAAACUGCCAAACUAGAGGAUGGACGGAGAGAACGGAAUUCCACAAGUAGCGGUGAAAUGCGUAGAUAUGUGGAAGAACACCUGUGGCGAAGGCGGUUCUCUAGUUUAUUCCUGACGCUGAGGCGCGAAAGCAAGGGGAGCAAACAGGAUUAGAUACCCUGGUAGUCCUUGCCGUAAACGAUGUGUACUUGAUGUAAUCGGACUCAACCCCGAUUGUGUCGAAGCUAACGCGAUAAGUACACCGCCUGGGGAGUACGCUCGCAAGGGUGAA